rnacentral:rRNA from 1 species
AACGAACGCUGGCGGCAGGCUUAACACAUGCAAGUUGAACGGGAUUGUUUUGGUGCUUGCACUGAGACAUGAGAGUGGCGCACGGGUGAGUAAUAUGUAGGAACGUACCUAUUGGUUUGGGAUAACGCUUGGAAACGAGUGCUAAUACCGGAUAAGCCCUGAGGGGGAAAGAUUUAUUGCCGAUAGAACGGCCUGCAUCAGAUUAGGUAGUUGGUGGGGUAAAGGCCUACCAAGGCGACGAUCAGUAGCCGAACUGAGAGGUUGAUCGGCCACAUUGGGACUGAGACACGGCCCAGACUCCUACGGGAGGCAGCAGUGGGGGAUAUUGCGCAAUGGGGGCAACCCUGACGCAGCAACGCCGCGUGAAGGAAGAAGGUUUUCGGAUCGUAAACUUCUUUAAGUGGGGAAGAUAGUGACGGUACCCACAGAAUAAGCCACGGCUAACUACGUG